rnacentral:lncRNA from 1 species
CCCUUCAACCCACAGCCAGGAGCUAGGCAAACACCCACAGAGGAGGGAGGACACACUUUAACCCUACAUUCAGCUUGACGAGCCAAACUCUCUGAACCACAGGAGAUAAAACUUCUGCCAUGGAACUGCUAAGGUAGAUAAUCAGCAACCCCCCAAGACUGUGCCUGCUGCACAACUACAGAACGCAGUGGAAGACACGCUGAAUUCUGAGUCAGAAGGUUGACUUUCUAGCUGUGGGGACUUGGCCAAACCUCCUCAGAGCUUCAGUUUUCUCAUCUGUAAAAUAGAGAUCUUAAUCCCUACCAAUCUCACAGGACUGCUGAGAGUAUCAGAUGAGGUAAGUAUAUAAAAUAGCUGUGCAAAUUUGUGUGAAGGCCUCCAGAGAGAAAUAGUGCAUGCAGGUGGCAUUAGAAACAUAGAUUCUAGUCCUGGCUUUGCAACCAAAUUAUUAUGUAAUUUUUUGUCUUGAUCAUCUUGUCUCUUACGAUUUCUUCAUAAGUUAAAUGAAAAGACACCUUUCAGCCCUGACCACUCCCAAACCUUCAGGACCCCCACUGGGUUGUGAGAUAGGAGCAGCCACAGGCAAGGUCACCCAGGACAGGAGUUAGAGCUGAAUCGUGCAAUAUGAGUGAGGUGUUCCUCUCAGCUUCAAAACCAGCUCUGGGUUGUAAACAAGCUACCACUUCCUCUAUCCCUCUGAAGUAACAUCAAAGUUGGGGUGCAGGAUGGAAGACAGUACCAUAUCCCCCUCUGUCCCAUCUUGCAUGGCCUUGCUCGGAUGCUGCCCAGCAUCAUGACGAAAAUCAACAUGCACGGAAAUGUAAUGAUAGACUCACAGCUGUGUAUAAAACAGUCUUAAGCCUGUUGUCAGACUUUAAACUGCCCUCCUCUGUCCUACUGCCCAUCUUAGGCCACUGGAGAUGGAGGUAGAGGACAAACACACAGAGGUCACAGUGUCCUACAUUUUUAUCCAGGUGGAGUCAUGUUUAAAAUAGCAGCAAGGACAGCCACGAAGAGGAAAAAACUCCCCAAAGCCUAAUUUGACUUCUUUCUGUUCUUUCUCUUCCUGUGGCCUUCUCACAUGCUCACCUCCUGGCUGGCCAACUUCUAUUCAGCCUUCAGGUUUCAGAGCAGCCUCCUUAGGCACCUAGGCUAGGUUACAGCCCUCACUCUAAGGCUCUAGUCCCCUGUAGCCUUUGAUACUUCCUCUCUGGUCACUUGCUUAAUCUCCAUCUUCCUCUUAAUCUACAAGCAGCAGAAUGACAAAACCAGUCUAUCUCAUUCAAGUCUAGACGCCCAGUGCCCAGCAUACUCUUGGCACAUGGUGGCACUCAAUGAUAUUUAUAGGAUGCAUGCAUUUAAAUGAAGGUGAGAAGUGACACCACCUUUGUCCUGGUGGCAAUGGUUGGUUAAGGGGCCAAUGUAGUUGAAUCUCAGAUCUUUUCUUACCACCAUCUGCUUCCCACCUCGUUUUCUCCCCCAAAGCAGGCCUCUCUGAGUCACGCAACCAGACCAGAGUCAUUAAAGCAGAAAAGGGACUUCCCUGCCCUUAGGAUGGUAAACAUUGUUCCCUCUUCCAUGUUACUUUGGCCAAAUAACUACCAUUGACCUCACCAGCUCAGGCAAAAUAGAAAUACCCGCCUGCCCCCAAAGAAAUAACUCCUUCUCCUGCUGUUGCCAAAAUCUACUUCAGUUAGGAAAGCGUCCAAGAUAAUUGAUGAGGUUUAAAAUACAAAUGCACCCAGAGCAUAGAAUAAGUAACUUAUAUUCUCACUCUUGAUUAAAUUAAAUCCAAAGAGGAGUUUCUGGAAAUAGCAGUAAGUUAUUUUGCAUAGCAGUGAUUUACAUUUGCAUAACAUUAUAACAGCAUUAUCUAUCUCAUUCCAUCGCACAGCAACCCUUUGAAGUGGGCCAAAGCGAGAAUUAUUGUCACCCCCAUUUUACAGACCUUAAGCAUUGAAAUUCAGAAAGGAAGACUAUUUGCUUUGCCUAAAGUUAAACAGGCUUGCUAACUUACUGUUAGUAAGGGAUAAAUUUGAACCCAGGCUCCCUUUUUCUGCCACAUCUGAUACCUCUCUUAGGAAGAGAAGAGCUGGUAUUUCAAGUCCUGGGUAUAGUGGAACAGCGGGAAUUAGGGCAGAAAGAAGGAAAGGGAGUGGCUGUAGGCCUCACCUCCUUCACAACUCAGCCCUGCCUUAACCAGCACUGUCUCCCUUCCUAGGUACCUAGCCUAGGUGAGAUGCUGUAUCUGCUUGACCCUCACGCCCUGAUUGGGACAAGUUAGCAGUAAUGUUACAGUUACAAAGCUCACAAGUCCAGUCCUGUUUUCUAUACUUUUCUAGGAGAUGAAUUUAGCGAGGGAUUUGGUUUCCAAUGUGUUUCAAAACCUGUGAGAGAGCGCAAGUUUUAGAAGGUCCCUCAGACAGGCACAGUGACUUAUGCCCUUAAUCCCAGCACUUACAGAGGCCAAGGCGGGAGGAUCGUUUGAACCCAGGAGUUCAAGACCAGCCUGGGCAAUGUGUCGAAACCCCACCUCUACAAAAAAUACAAAAAUGAGCCAGGCAUGGUAGCACAUGCCAGUAGUCCCAGCUACUUAGGAGGCUGAGUGGGGAGGAUCGCUUGAGCCCAGGAGGUCAGGGCUGCAGUGAGCUGAGAUCGCACCACUGCACUCCAGCCUGGGUGACAGAGAGAGACCCUGUCUCAAAAAAAAAAAAAAAAAAAGCCCUCAAGUUUUGGUUCCACUGUUUACCCUUGUCUGGCCUUCAUCCCUGCGUAACUCAACUUCCUGAACUUCUAGAUCAAGAAAGCAUUUAGACCUUUCUCACAAAGUGUGUGAAGCGGGAACCUAGAAGUUUCUUAUAAUUAUGUAGACCCAAGGACAAACCUCCUGACAUAAGACAAUGGGUUGCUGAGGGUCCCUAGGAAAUUACCUCUUUCCCUGGGAAUAUAGAGGAGUAGGACUCCCCCUCCUGGGUUUGAAGUGAAUGAGAGGAACUUAAGCUGAAGAUUAUUUGAAUAUCCCCGUGUAAUUACAUAUCAAGGCUUGUAUCUUCUUCCCUUGAGGCCUUUGCUGUACAUUCACUGGGGAUGCAUGCGUUAGGCACAGACGAGCCUGGGGAUGUGACCAAUCAGCUUGGACACAGCACAGUUGAAAUGUGAUGCUUUGUUUCAGCAGAUGCCUCUGCACUCUCUUAGGGCCAGCAAGACAGGGAAAGCAGACAGUCAGACUAGCUUUUUGGCCCACGUCUCCUGGAUACUUUCCUUUUUUUUUUUUUUUUCUUCUCUUAAGACAGAGUUUCUGUCACCCAGGCUGGAGUGCAGUAGUGCAAUCUCAGCUCACUGCAACCUCCACCCCCUGAGUUCAAAUGAUUCUCCUGCCUCAGCCUCCCGAGUAGCUGGGAUUAUAGGCAUGUGUCAUCACACCUGGCUAAUUUUUGUAUUUUUAGUAGAGACGGGGUUUCACCAUGUUGCCCAGGCUGGUCUCGAACUCCCGUCCUCAGGUGAUCUGCCCACCUCAGCUUCCCAAAGUGCUGGGAUUACAGGCAUGAGCCACCAUGCCUGGCCUUCUCCUGGAUACAGUCUAACAGAAACCUAGGAUCCCCCAGACCCCUUUUCCAGUCAGAACAGAUUGAGAUGCUCUCCCCUCUGGCCUUGUUUAUUCAUUAACUAAAAGGCCACUUCUUGACCUCUUCCUGGAUUUCCCCCAACUACCCCUAGAGGCCCUGAAACUUGCUUUAGGCCUCUUUUGAGAUGUUGAUCAUGUUCUGCCUUCCAUUAGAACAACGAUUUUGGUACUUAUCUCCUUUUCUAAAUUGUAAUGAUGUCUUGGAGUCUAUUCCCCUGUCUUGUACUUAACAGAGACAGAGUAGAUCCUACAGAAUUGAAGUAAAAGUGAAGGGAGUGGUGAGAGAGAAUUACCCCCACCCCCGCUCCUCACACCCUUCGGCAGUUGGUUCUGGAAGGAGGAACAAUUUUGAAUCAAUGCUCUGGGGAGACUGAAUUUUUCAUUCUAGUUUUCACUGCAAAGAAUGGCAGAGAGGCCUCUGAGGGCCUGUCAGCACCAGGGCAGCCAGCCUGAGCAAGAAGGGGGUCCUUUCCCUGCAACAUAUUUUUAUGCAUGUCCUAGUCAUCAUCUGCCCAAUAAUAGGUUCAAAUGCCUAUAAAGGACACAGCCACUAACUGCAAGGAACUUGAGAAAGAGAAGAAAGAUAAACAUGAAACUAGCAGAAAUAUGUAAAUACAAAAAGAAUUCUGUCUUGGGGGGAAAAAAGAUGAGUACUGGCUUUGGGGAGGGUGAUAGGCAAACUCUCUGGAGAAUAAGACGUUAUGAGCUGUGGUUUCAGGUGUGUGUGUGGAAGUUGGAACGGGACAAGCAGAGAAGGCUAAAGUGCUCUGGUUCCGGGAGGAAGCAGGAAGUUAUUUUCAGCGUCUGAGGAGAAGGAGGAAAGGUUUCAGGGUAGAGUGGCGGCAAGGUAGGGUGUGGGAACAGGUAGGUGGGGUGGUGCCUGCUAUGGGAGGCUGGGAAGGCCAAUGGAGAGAGACACCAAAGGAGAGCUGUGGGGACAGCAGAAGCUGGGGUGGAGCGCCCAGCUCGUCCCUUUCAGCACUGUGGUGCAGGGAUCCGUGGAGGCCGUGCAGCCAGGGGUUCUGAGAAGUGCUUCUUCCAGCACCUGUUUCACCAGGGCCACAACACGUGUUCCAAAUGCCACUUUUGCCCAUCUCCUGCUACAGCUCAGGAGAAGUGGGAGGACCUGUGUAUCAUGCAUAUAAUCUCCCAGAGGGUGCGACAGAUCACGCCCCUCACUGUGCGCCUUCUCUAAAUCCAUCACCCUGGAAAUUUUACGUGGUGUCAUCAGCUGAAUUAACACCUGUUAAAAUCAUCAUUCCCACCAGACUCAAAACUGCAAGUGCUUUUAAUGAGGCUCCACAUAAAAUAAUACAUUUUCUCAGAGCCCUUAAAUUACAUUAAAUCCUCCACACCAAAUAAAUUAUUGAAACUGCGAUUAGAGUUUGGAUCAUACCAACAGACCUGCUCGGAGGCAAAUUUUCAAACUGCCCAACCACCUAAGCAAAGAGGUGAGUGAAAAAUUCUUCGUUUUCAAUGGUUAUUUCAACAGAAGCUUCAGUGCUAAAUUAGCAGUGAAUUUUGUGUAUGAAUUUUCUUUGAAAUCUAACAUUAUGUAAAUGAAAAACCCAACACAGCACAAAUUAAGACUAUUCUUAAUUCUAAAAGGCUGCUAUUCUGUGAUAAUGACGCCAUGGAAUACUUACAGUCUGCCAACCAUGGAGUGUGGUUCCUGCUCCCCCAUCUGUCUUGGAUGCCUCCCAGCAGGGGGACACCCACCGUGUCCUCAUUUCUUUAUCCUGCCCACUGAAGUCAGAUCCUGUCCACCCUUCCACCCCUCUUCCACCUCAUAAUUUAAUCUUGCCCAGAUCAUUUAAUCACCUAAAAUGGAACCAGAGAUUGAAAUGCGCUUAACCUGCAUCCAUGUGCAGUGUAAAGUACUAGAGGCGUGACGUCAGAAGCCCACUCACCUGGGUUUAUAUCCGGCUCUGCCAGAGACCCGCUGGAUCUGCUCAGGUACUUUCUCAGAGCCUAAGUUUCUUCAUCCGUAAGUAAAUAUGAAUUACCUACAUCUGCAGGUUUAAAGGAUUAAUUGAGAUUUUACAUGUCAAUGGUUUAGAAAGUGAACGCCUGGCACAUAAAACUUGUUUAGCUAAUGAUGCCUAUUAUUAUUGAGCAAAGCUCGGGUUAGGUAUUGUUGGUAAAUCAAUUUGGCCAUUCAGCAAUUGUUGGGUUUUUAUUCAGGUUUGUACAUGUCCCUUCAACCUCACUACCAGGUGAUAUGUUGCUAUAAAAACUGAGAUUAGUUUUUAUAAAUUAAACCAGGUUUCUCUCUCUCUUUCUCUCUGACACACAGACACACACACACACACCCACGCGCACACACACACACACAUUUCUUAGCAAGCAGGCUAGAGGCCAUCACACAUCCUGUACCAGAAGGCUCAGGGCACCCCUAAAACCCUUACAGGAGAACCUAGACCCCAAACAGAUGGAGCAGUGUUCUGAGGCCAGGAUCCACCAAACUCCUGGUCAAAUCAGGGAACAGUUUCCCUUUAAGUGGAGAGACAAAAGACCAGAUGAAUUCAACAGCUCUGGAGGAGGAAUCAGCCUGCUGGGUCUGCUGGAUUCUUACAUCUUGUCCAAGCAAGCCCACUCCAGCUAUGUUUCUUGAGCAGCGCUAAUUUCACCAAUGAAAAAUAAUAACUAAUAUUCCUUAUGCUAAUUUAUACACCUUCUGAUUCAAAUGUACAUGAUGUUCUCAGCGCAGCUCCCUGAAAAGCUUGAAUUCCUGACCAGGAUGCUUCAAGUGCCAAUCACACUUAGAGCAUGGAUUUCUGAUGAAGUCCCUUCAAACGUGAGCUGUACACCCCUAGCAUGGAUUAAAGUUAAUUUAUACACAUAUACAUGACUCUGUUUAUAUUGAAGUAUUUAAAAUCUACUACAGACAAUAUAGCAACUAUGAAUAAGGAAAAGCUUCCAGCAUCAAUGGAACAGGAGAGUGGUAUAAAACCAUGGCUUUUCCUUCAGUGGGAAUAUUCAUGCCUUAGGUUCUUGUCUGUUUGACAUGGCAUUGUGAGAAUUUAUUUUAGAUAUGCCACUGUAGACAGCCAGAUUUUACUGUGUUUGUUUGGCCAGCAACCUGGGGCAGUCAUUUGUCCUAAUCGGGAAUUCAUGCCUCAAGGGUGGUCAGCUAGCACUAGAAAGUCCAACGCUAGCUCCAGGGUAGCUCUAAAUCUCAAUCAAUACAAGUGAUUUUUUACUAAUUAGCAUAACGAAUGUUGAGAAUGAAUUUUCAUUAGUAGCUUGUUAGUUAGAUUAAUAAGUAUUAGAAACGGGCUGUCAUUAGUAAAGUCAGAAGUAUUCAAGACAUAUGGCUUAUCAAAAAUGUUUUAUAGACACUCUUUUCCAUCCCACGUCUUCAUGUCCUCUAGCCUCAGAGAUGCCAAUUGAGUCUUUUUUUUUUUUUUCUUUUGUGAGACAGAGCCUUGGCUGGGCGCGGUGACUCACGCCUGUAAUCCCAGCACUUUGGGAGGCCGAGAUGGACGGAUCACGAGGUCAGGAGAUCAAGACCAUCCUGGUUAACAUGGUGAAACCCCAUCUCUACUAAAAAUACAAAAAAUUAGCCGGGCGUGGUGGUGGGCGCCUGUAGUCCCAGCUACUCGGGAGGCUGAGGCAGGAGAAUGGCGUGAACCUGGGAGGCGGAGCUUGCAGUGAGCCGAGAUCACGCCACUGCACUCCAGCCUGGGCGACAGAGCAAGACUCCAUCUCAAAAAAAUAAAUAAAUAAAUAAAUAAAUAAAUAAAUAAAUAAA